GACGAACGCUGGCGGCGUGCCUAAUACAUGCAAGUCGAACGCACUCUCGUUUAGAUUGAAGGAGCUUGCUCCUGAUUGAUAAACAUUUGAGUGAGUGGCGGACGGGUGAGUAACACGUGGGUAACCUGCCCUAAAGUGGGGGAUAACAUUUGGAAACAGAUGCUAAUACCGCAUAAAACCUAAACACCGCAUGGUGUAGGGUUGAAAGAUGGUUUCGGCUAUCACUUUAGGAUGGACCCGCGGUGCAUUAGUUAGUUGGUGAGGUAAAGGCUCACCAAGACCGUGAUGCAUAGCCGACCUGAGAGGGUAAUCGGCCACACUGGGACUGAGACACGGCCCAGACUCCUACGGGAGGCAGUAGUAGGGAAUCUUCCACAAUGGACGAAAGUCUGAUGGAGCAACGCCGCGUGAGUGAAGAAGGUUUUCGGAUCGUAAAACUCUGUUGUUGGAGAAGAAUGUAUCUGAUAGUAACUGAUCAGGUAGUGACGGUAUCCAACCAGAAAGCCACGG
rnacentral:rRNA from 1 species